UAAGACAGAGGGUGCAAACGUUGUUCGGAAUUACUGGGCGUAAAGCGCGUGUAGGCGGUCGUGCAAGUCGGGUGUGAAAGCCCUGGGCUCAACCCAGGAAGUGCAUUCGAUACUGCGCGACUAGAGUCCCGGAGAGGAUGGUGGAACUCUCGGUGUAGAGGUGAAAUUCGUAGAUAUCGAGAAGAACACCGGUGGCGAAGGCGGCCAUCUGGACGGUGACUGACGCUGAGACGCGAAAGCGUGGGGAGCAAACAGGAUUAGAUACCCUGGUAGUCCACGCCGUAAACGAUGGGUGCUAGGUGUCACGGGUAUUGACCCCUGUGGUGCCGAAGCUAACGCAUUAAGCACCCCGCCUGGGAAGUACGGCCGCAAGGCU
rnacentral:rRNA from 1 species